AACGUACGCUGGCUGCAGGCUUAACACAUGCAAGUCAAGCGUGACCUUCGGGUCUAGCGGCGGACGGGUUAGUAACGCGUGGGCACGUGACCUUCUCUACGCAAUAGCCCCGGUAAACUGGGCGUAAUACCGUAUACGCCCUUAGGGGGAAAGAUUUAUCGGAGAAGGAUAGGCCCGCGUUGGAUUAGGUUGUUGGUGGGGUAAUGGCACACCAAGCCGACGAUCCAUAGCUGGUUUGAGAGGAUGAUCAGCCACACUGGGACUGAGACACGGCCCAGCCUCCUACGGGAGGCAGCAGUGGGGAAUCUUAGACAAUGGGUGCAACCCUGAUCUAGCCAUGCCGCGUGAGUGAUGAAGGCCUUAGGGUUGUAAAGCUCUUUCAGCUGGGAAGAUAAUGACGGUACCAGCAGAAGAAGCCCCGGCUAACUCCGUGCCAGCCGCCGCCGUAACAC
rnacentral:rRNA from 1 species